CGUGGCGGACGGGUGAGUAACGCGUGGGUAACCUGCCAUAUACAGGGGGAUAACACUUAGAAAUAGGUGCUAAUACCGCAUAAGCGCACAGGGGCGCAUGCCCCGGUGUGAAAAACUCCGGUGGUAUAUGAUGGACCCGCGUCUGAUUAGCCAGUUGGCAGGGUAACGGCCUACCAAAGCGACGAUCAGUAGCCAGCCUGAGAGGGCGGACGGCCACAUUGGGACUGAGACACGGCCCAAACUCCUACGGGAGGCAGCAG
rnacentral:rRNA from 1 species